rnacentral:lncRNA from 1 species
AUUUUUUUAUAUUUGUUCUUUUCGUUUUAUUAUUAUUAUUAUUAUUUAAAAACUGUUUACUUUUUUUGUGUUUAACCCUUUUUUAAAAAUUUAAUCAAAUUCCUUAUUAAUUUAAUUUAUUUAUUUAACACUUCCACUCUUUUGUUCCCACAUUUUUGUUUUUUUAUUUAUUAUUUGUCAUUUUCGUUUAUUGCCCUUAUUUUUAUAUCACUUUCAUUAGUCUCAACACAUAUAUAUAUUUCAAUAAUCC